GCGAGAGUGGCGGAAUUGGUAGACGCACUGGAUUUAGGUUCCAGCGCCGCAAGGCGUGGGAGUUCGAGUCUCCCCUUUCGCA
rnacentral:tRNA from 2 species